AUGUGCUUUGUCAUGUCCAUGCAUUUGUCAGACACAAAAGAGGCAUUUGGAGGAUACCUCAGGCCUGCUGAGAGGAUGGACAUCGUCCUCACAGCCCUUGAACUGAUGGCUGACUCCAGCAUCUAUGCCAGGGAGUCAGCCUGCAGUGCGAUGGCCGUGGCCAUGGAAGACUACCCCUUCUGGAUACCAGAUAAAACCUCCAUCCACAAGAACUUGAGGAGCAUCGCCGCAAAGGCAGUGCAGCACUGCCUGAACUCCGUGCUCCUCCGUCUGACCAGCCAGAUGGCCACGGAAGUAGUCAGGAACCUGCUGAAGUCCUCUGCACCUAGCGACAGCAACACCCUAGACAUGUGGGAGGUGAUGCUCUGCAUGCCACGGACUUUGGAGAAGGUUUCGAAGAAGGUGACCAAGGGUUCACAGCUGAGCAGGCUGGUAGGAGUCACAGAAGACACGUGCAUCCUCUUCUUGGUGCUAAUGGCAAAGAGCAAAGAUAGUGAAGACUCUUGGUGA
rnacentral:lncRNA from 1 species